UGCCCAUCCCCGGGGGGCCGCGCGAAGCGGCUGAGAGGCAGCUGGCACGCUGCGACCCGCUGAACCUGAUCCGGUUGAACCCGGCGUAGGGAGGGAGCGGCAUCCGGCC
rnacentral:ncRNA from 2 species